AACGUAGGAGACAAACGUUAUCCGGAGUUACUGGGCGUAAAGAGCGCGUAGGCGGCCCGGUAAGUCCGCUGUGAAAGUCAAAGGCUCAACCUUUGAAUGUCAGCGGAUACUGCCGGGCUAGAGUCCGGAAGAGGCGAGUGGAACUCCUGGUGUAGAGGUGAAAUUCGUAGAUAUUCGCAAGAACACCAGUGGCGAAGGCGGCUCACUGGCUCGGUACUGACGCUGAGGUGCGAAAGCGUGGGGAGCAAACAGG
rnacentral:rRNA from 1 species